GCAGGGAGGAGCUGCCGAGGCUGCCCAACCUCUCCAGGUUUAACCUCGAGUCUUCAUCAGCUGCCAAGGGAAGGUGACAGAAACAGGCAGAGGGUGACCCUGUGGAGUUUCAGUUGCUCUGACCUGCAGGGAUGGGUGUGACUGUGUAGCUCCUCACAUGGACGUGUAAGAAAAUAAACUGAAAUAAUCUCCCAACAUUUCAAAAACUUGCACAAAGAUCAGGAAUUUGAAGACCUUGGACAUGCCUGUUAUUGGUUUAUUCCCUGCAUAAAAGGACAUUUGCAAAGGACAGAGGGGAUUUCAUUAUAGGACUCAAAAUAAGAAUACAGAAAAUUCCCAGUGCUGUGUGGAGACAAUCUGUAUCUCUGGCCAUGGAUUAUUCUUUAAAUCAGAGCAGUACUAGCAGAGCCUCUUUACAUUAGCAAGGACAAUCUAAGCACAGUGACUUGAACCUAAUGCAAUAAUGGUCAGAGCCAGCUAUGAUGUGACAGAUAUUACUCAUAUUGAGUCAGGGGUACCUGGAAAUGCAAAUUACACUGUGGAAGGCUUGAGGAGAUGCUGGCUUAGAGAGUCCAAGAUUUUCCAAGCAGACUGGGGACUGCUGACACCUAUAAACCAGCACGACAGCUGCUGCAGAGCAGGUAAGAACAGCCACUUUUCAACAGUCAGCUUUAUGCAAUAACUUCUGGGUUGGUUUGCCUGUUCUUUCAGAACUCAUUUCAGAAAGUCUUCCAGGUCUGGUGAUAGUAACCUUCCAGAUUCUGCUGGGCAUUUUUUCUGAGCCAUUUCAAACUUUGAGCAUCACUUUCUCAAGCAAAGAUUUAUUUUUUCCCUGGGCUGAAUGGAAUCUGAAUCAGUGCAAACAAAUAGCAUUCUCAAUACA